AUACGACCUCCCCCAGACUUAAAUUACACCGUCUCGGUGUAAAGUGCCUAGAGGUGGUGAUAAGCAAAGUUAGAUGUUUGAGAUGUUAGAGCAAGGUGUUGUACCUCUCUGUCCCGUACAUCGAUCGAUACCAUUCUCUCCGUGUCGAUCGAUGGCGAAGAACAGAUAAUUCAGCGUCAUGUCUGGAAUCUAACUCAUGUGAUCUGUUAGUGUGGUUAGCUCUGUUAGACACUCCAAACAUAAGAAAUAAG
rnacentral:lncRNA from 1 species